rnacentral:rRNA from 1 species
GACGAACGCUGGCGGCGUGCUUAACACAUGCAAGUCGAACGGAAAGGCCCUGCUUGCAGGGUACUCGAGUGGCGAACGGGUGAGUAACACGUGGGUGAUCUGCCCUGCACUUCGGGAUAAGCCUGGGAAACUGGGUCUAAUACCGGAUAGGAGCCAUUUUUAGUGUGAUGGUUGGAAAGUUUUUUCGGUGUAGGAUGAGCUCGCGGCCUAUCAGCUUGUUGGUGGGGUAAUGGCCUACCAAGGCGGCGACGGGUAGCCGGCCUGAGAGGGUGGACGGCCACAUUGGGACUGAGAUACGGCCCAGACUCCUACGGGAGGCAGCAGUGGGGAAUAUUGCACAAUGGGCGCAAGCGUGAUGCAGCGACGCCGCGUGGGGGAUGACGGCCUUCGGGUUGUAAACUCCUUUCGCUAGGGACGAAGCUUUUGUGACGGUACCUAGAUAAGAAGCACCGGCUAACUACGUG